rnacentral:pre_miRNA from 1 species
GUGGAAUUGCUAGAUCAUAUGGUAAUUCCAGGUAAAAAUUUUUGAGGAACUGCCAUACUGUUUUGCACAGUAGCUGUACCAUUUACAUUCCUACCAGCAAU